UACGGAGGGAGCUAGCGUUGUUCGGAAUUACUGGGCGUAAAGCGCACGUAGGCGGCUAUUCAAGUCAGAGGUGAAAGCCCGGGGCUCAACCCCGGAACUGCCUUUGAAACUAGGUAGCUAGAAUCUUGGAGAGGUCAGUGGAAUUCCGAGUGUAGAGGUGAAAUUCGUAGAUAUUCGGAAGAACACCAGUGGCGAAGGCGACUUACUGGACACAUAUUGACGCUGAGGUGCGAAAGCGUGGGGAGCAAACAGG
rnacentral:rRNA from 1 species